CUGUGACGUUACUGACAGAANAAGCACCGGCUAACUCCGUGCCAGCAGCCGCGGUAAUACCGGAGGGGUGCGAGCGUUAAUCGGAAUUACUGGGCGUAAAGCGUACGCAGGCGGUUUGUUAAGCGAGAUGUGAAAGCCCCGGGCUCAACCUGGGAACUGCAUUUSRAACUGGCAAACUAGAGUGUGAUAGAGGGUGGUAGAAUUUCAGGUGUAGCGGUGAAAUGCGUAGAGAUCUGAAGGAAUACCGAUGGCGAAGGCAGCCACCUGGGUYAACACUGACGCUSAUGUWCGAAAGCGUGGGGAGCAAACRGGAUUAGAUACCCYGGUAGUCCACGCCGUAAACGAUGUCUACUAGAAGCUNGGAGCCUCGGUUNUGUUUUUCANAGCUAACGCAUUAUAGUAGACCGCCUGGGGAGUACGGCCGCAAGGUUAAAACUCAAAUGAAUUGACGGGGGCCCGCACAAGCGGUGGAGCAUGUGGUUUAUUUCGAUGCAACGCGAAGAACCUUACCURCUCUUGACAUACAKAGAAUCUCUACCAGAGAUGGUUUGGUGCCUUCGGGAACUAUGAUACAGGUGCUGCAUGGCUGUCGUCAGCUCGUGUUGUGAGAUGUUGGGUUAAGUCCCGCAACGAGCGCAACCCYUAUCCUUAGUUGCUAGCAGGUAAUGCUGAGAACUCUAAGGAGACUGCCGGUGAUAAACYGGAGGAAGGUGGGGACGACGUCAAGUCAUCAUGGCCCUUACGUGUAGGGCUACACACGUGCUACAAUGGYGCAUACAGAGUGCUGCGAACUMGCGAGAGUAAGCGAAUCWCUUAAAGYGCGUCGUAGUCCGGAUUGGAGUCUGCAACUCGACUCCAUGAAGUMGGAAUCGCUAGUAAUCGCGUAUCAGAAUGACGCGGUGAAUACGUUCCCGGGCCUUGUACACACCGCCCGUCACACCAUGGGAGUGGGUUGCUACCAGAAGUAGA
rnacentral:rRNA from 1 species